UACGGAGGGGGGCUAGCGUUGUUCGGAAUUACUGGGCGUAAAGCGCACGUAGGCGGCUUUGUAAGUUAGAGGUGAAAGCCCAGGGCUUAACCCUGGAAUUGCCUUUAAGACUGCAUCGCUAGAAUUGUGGAGAGGUAAGUGGAAUUCCGAGUGUAGAGGUGAAAUUCGUAGAUAUUCGGAAGAACACCAGUGGCGAAGGCGACUUACUGGACACAUAUUGACGCUGAGGUGCGAAAGCGUGGGGGAGCAAACAGG
rnacentral:rRNA from 1 species